UCAGCCAGGCCCACAGCAGGCCAGCCAUAGAGGUUCUUCCUGGGCCCCUCAAAGGCACAGUCAUGACCCGCUGGCUGCAGAAAGUCCUGGCUAUCCCACAGGAUCACAAGGGAUGGAAGAAAGGAAGGAAAGUGGCCUUCUCUGCUAAGCUGUGAGCCCAGGUUCUUCCCUAUCCCCUCUUACUCUGCAGUCAGAACGUCAGAAAACCAAUGGAAUCGCCAUGUCAAGUUCAAGAUACCUUCUCCCAGAGGCGGCUGUCUCCCUUUUCAAUCUGACCCACUUGAGAGGAUGGGAACUACAGUCCUCUGAAUGACCGGAAAAGCAGCUCCGGUGGCCUGUAUGUUUUGUAAGAUUUGCUGACACAUCGGCUCAGUGGAUUCUGGUCUGGUCCAGCUCUCUCUACACCCAUGGGGUCCUUGCUCUGUGAAGAUGGCCUGAAUAGUCUUUUGAUGGAUGGUAAUGAGAAGCAAAGGAGUCCGUCCUCCUGCCUCCACCUUCCAAGUGCUGGGAUUACAAUGUAAUCAGUUUUCAGCUUGUGGAUCUUGACCCCUUUGGGGCUCAAACAACCCUUUCACAGGGGUCACAUAGCAGAUAUCCUGCA